AAGGAUGCAGUUCAGAGGCAGAGUGCUUGCCUAAUAUGUAAGAGGACCUGGGUUUGAUCCCCAGCAACCCAA
rnacentral:tRNA from 1 species